CAUCCAUCCUUCCAACAAGCCCCCUUCUAGAAUUUAUUGCCGCAUCUCUGUUUUUUAACACACAUUGAAUUCAGGAGAAGAGUGCCUGUACCUUUAAAAAACAUUGAAAAAUUCUAGGGUUUGCCACUUCUGCAUUGAGCAUGAGAAUGUCUUUACCUGGCUGGUGGGAAUUGAUUAUACUAUUAUUUAUAUGGAGUUUCGAAUGUCUUGAAUAGCCACAUUUCUUUUAGAUCCUAUUCCUCUGAGGAUAUUAUGAUGCUAGGAUAUGCUAGCUUUAAUCUUGUGUCAUUCAGAGAGUUGAUGGAAGUAUAGGUAUUGAGCAGUAAAGGAGCACAUGGCUAAAUGGUGACUAUACCUAAGUUUUUAAAACAGUAUUGAGUGGAAGAAUUACCCCAACUUCAUUGAUUUUGCUGGUGCAUUAUUCUUAGGAGGUUGGGGCUGGCUUAACUGCAGACGAACAGGAAAGAAUACAGACGAAAUGGAGAAUUUGAGGAAUGGAUGAGGGAAGAGAAGAAGGAAACUCAAGUUUUUCCUUUCCUUUGUUUGGUUGAGGAGAUGCUGAAGGAAAGAGAGCAAAGUAAAUGGUGAAUGUGAACAUUGACAUUGAUUUGGAGUUUGGACUGCUUUUUCCGAUCACCGCGUAAAUGUUCUGGUCAAUACAAUUUCUUUUUUCUGCCACAGAAAAUUUGCUCAUAAGUUAUAAGACAUUUUUUUUUAACUGCAUCAUCUAUUUGAUGUUGAUUAGAAUAAGGUGUUUUAACUUUAUUGUAUUGCUUUUAUUUGACUUUGAUUAGUAUAAAGUUUUAAACUUGUAUCAUUCGAAUUAACAUAGUUAAUUUUCUUCUCC